AUGAACGCUGGCGGCGUGCCUAAUACAUGCAAGUCGAGCGAACAGACGAGGAGCUUGCUCCUCUGACGUUAGCGGCGGACGGGUGAGUAACACGUGGAUAACCUACCUAUAAGACUGGGAUAGCUUCGGGAAACCGGAGCUAAUACCGGAUAAUAUAUUUAACCGCAUGGUUCAAUAGUGAAAGACGGUUUUGCUGUCACUUAUAGAUGGAUCCGCGCCGCAUUAGCUAGUUGGUAAGGUAACGGCUUACCAAGGCGACGAUGCGUAGCCGACCUGAGAGGGUGAUCGGCCACACUGGAACUGAGACACGGUCCAGACUCCUACGGGAGGCAGCAGUAGGGAAUCUUCCGCAAUGGGCGAAAGCCUGACGGAGCAACGCCGCGUGAGUGAUGAAGGUCUUCGGAUCGUAAAACUCUGUUAUUAGGGAAGAACAAAUGUGUAAGUAACUAUGCACGUCUUGACGGUACCUAAUCAGAAAGCCACGGCUAACUACGUG
rnacentral:rRNA from 1 species